UACGUAGGCAGCAAGCGUUGUUCGGAGUUACUGGGCGUAAAGGGUGUGUAGGCGGUUCUCUAAGUCUGGUGUGAAAUCUCCCGGCUCCACUGGGAGGGUGCGCCGGAAACUGGAGGGCUAGAGUGUGGGAUGGGAGAGUGGAAUUCCUGGUGUAGCGGUGAAAUGCGUAGAUAUCAGGAGGAACACCUGUGGUGUAGACGGCUCUCUGGACCACAACUGACGCUGAGACACGAAAGCGUGGGUAGCAAACAGG
rnacentral:rRNA from 1 species